UCAGGCCUAACACAUGCAAGUCGAGCGGAAACGAGUUAACUGAACCUUCGGGGAACGUUAACGGCGUCGAGCGGCGGACGGGUGAGUAAUGCCUGGGAAAUUGCCCUGAUGUGGGGGAUAACCAUUGGAAACGAUGGCUAAUACCGCAUAAUAGCUUCGGCUCAAAGAGGGGGACCUUCGGGCCUCUCGCGUCAGGAUAUGCCCAGGUGGGAUUAGCUAGUUGGUGAGGUAAGGGCUCACCAAGGCGACGAUCCCUAGCUGGUCUGAGAGGAUGAUCAGCCACACUGGAACUGAGACACGGUCCAGACUCCUACGGGAGGCAGCAGUGGGGAAUAUUGCACAAUGGGCGCAAGCCUGAUGCAGCCAUGCCGCGUGUAUGAAGAAGGCCUUCGGGUUGUAAAGUACUUUCAGCAGUGAGGAAGGUGGUAGUGUUAAUAGCACUAUCAUUUGACGUUAGCUGCAGAAGAAGCACCGGCUAACUCCGUGCCAGCAGCCGCGGUAAUACGGAGGGUGCGAGCGUUAAUCGGAAUUACUGGGCGUAAAGCGCAUGCAGGUGGUUUGUUAAGUCAGAUGUGAAAGCCCGGGGCUCAACCUCGGAAUUGCAUUUGAAACUGGCAGACUAGAGUACUGUAGAGGGGGGUAGAAUUUCA
rnacentral:rRNA from 1 species